ACUCACACUCAACUUUGGCCUUUCCCGAGUGUUACCGAAUAACACACCUUAGCAGCACGCUUCCAUCUAUUCAUACACCCUUUGUGCUUGUUGCCCCAUUUCUGCCGCUGCAAAUGGUGCCUGCCCAAUCUUUGCCAACCACUAAACCCAGCUCUUCCCUUCUAGACGUUAUCGAUCCUAAUUGAGCCCUCCUUUUUUCAAGCAAUUAUCUAAUUUAGUCCUACUGCGAUUUUGUAUGAUUCACAAUUUUAAUGCUGCUGAAAGCAAUUAUAUAAAAGCUGAAACGAUUUGCACUGAUGUUCAAAACCAACAAUGUUACCUCCAGGCUUUUUGAGCGCCAGAUUUGUACCCCUGCUCCUGGCACCAGCAUCCAUCGUGCCAGAAGAUUUUAUGAGAACAUUGUACCAAGUUAUACCAUAUACGAUGUUGAAUGUCCCGACCAUUCAUUUCGCAAGUUCACGGAUGACGGUCUAUAUUUUGUAAGUUUCAGCCGAAACCAUCAGGAUCUGGUUGUUUAUAGACCAACAUGGCUGACAUUUUCCUACAAAGAAGAAGAUUGUGAUACUCAUGAUCUUCCUUUGAAAGCUAGAAAGUUUGAGAGCUUCUUCACGCAGUUGUACAGUGUUACUCUUGCUUCUAGUGGGGAACUUAUAUGCAAAGAUUUCUUUCUCUAUAUGGAGAGCAACCAAUUUGGACUCUUUGCAACUUCAACUGCACAAAUUCAUGAUGCACCUCCUACUGGAGGGGCAAUUCAGGGAGUCCCUUCAGUUGAAAAAAUAACUUUCCACCUUUUGAGGUUGGAGGAUGGAGCUACACUUGACGAAAGGGUUUUCCACAAUGAUUAUGUUAAUUUGGCACAUAGCAUUGGUGCUUUCUUGUAUGAUGAUUUGCUUGCUAUAGUGUCUCUUCGUUAUCAAAGAAUACACAUCCUUCAGAUCAGAGAUUCUGGAGAUCUUGUUGAUGUACGAGCAAUUGGGGAAUUCUGCCGUGAAGAUGAUGAACUUUUUCUCAAUUCCAAUUCCCAGGUGCUUGUAAAUCAUGUUGGAAAUGGUUUUCAUCAUAGUCUGCCUGAAUUGGAAACUUCUUUCCUGAGCGGUAUAAAGCAACGGCUGCUUUCAUUUAUAUUUCGAGGUAUAUGGAAUGAAGAAACUGACCGAACCAUGGUUAGUAAGAGAAUAUUGAUUUCCAGAGUGCAGUGCCUGAAGAAGAAGUUUUACUUCCACUUUCAAGAUUACAUUGACUUGAUUAUCUGGAAGGUGCAGUUUUUGGACCGACAUCACCUGUUGAUCAAGUUUGGCAGUGUUGAUGGUGGGGUAUCCCGAAAUGCUGACAGCCAUCCUUCUUUUUUUGCUGUUUACAAUAUGGAGACUACUGAAAUUGUUGCAUUUUAUCAGAACUCAGCCGAUGAGCUUUAUUUCUUGUUCGAGCUGUUCAGCGACCAUUUUCACGUUUCAUCCAAAAGUUCAUUACAUAUGAACUUCAUGUCCUCACACUCAAACAACAUCCACGCCCUCGAGCAACUAAGGUGUACAAAGAAUAAAGCAACCAAUUUCUCUCAAUUUGUUAAGAAGAUGAUGGUUUCCUUGCCUUUUAGUUGUCAGUCUCAGAGUCCUUCCCCAUAUUUUGACCAAUCUCUCUUCAGGUUUGAUGAGAAGGUGAAAAUUACCAAAUCUGUUUUGUGAAGAUGCAAGCUUUUUUGGAAGCCUAUGAACUUUGGGAAACUGUGACUGAAGAUAAACCAUUUGCUGCUCUACCAGCAAAUCCUACCUUGGCUCAGAUCAAAUACAACAACGAAGAGAAGGCAAAGAAAUCUAAAGCCAAGUCGCUUAUGCAGAAUACUGUGGCAGAUACUGUGUUUUACAGAAUCAUGGCUUGCAAAACUGCAAAAGAGGCUUGGGAUAGGUUGAAAGAAGAAUAUCAAGGCAGUGAUAGAACACGUCAAAAUGCAAGUGUUGAACCUAAAAAGAGAGUUUGAGUCCUUGAAUAUGCAGGAGGAUGAAACUAUCAAAUCCAAGGACCUGAGCAAACUUUUAUUAGGUGAACUAAUGAGUGCUCCUCAAGCACAAGAGCAAAGGAGGACUAUAAGACGGGAAAAGUUCAUUGAAGGAGCUUUCUCUGUAAGCAAAAAGGAAAGUAACAAUUCCACCAAAAGAAUAAGGGCAAGCAUGAUGGAGGAAACAAUAGUGGAGAUGUGAAGCAGAAGUUCCCUCCUUGCAAACAUUGUAAAAGAAAUACACAUCUGGAGAAGUAUUGUUGGUGGAGAGUCGAUGCUACAUGUGGCAACUGUAAGCAGACGAGACACGUAUCCAAGGUCUGCAAAUUAAGAGCAAAGGCCUUUGGUGCUUUGCAAGCACAAGUAGCAGAAGCUGACGAUGCACAUGAAGAGCAACUAUUUGCAGUUUCAUACUUUUCAAUCAGUGAAUCCUUUGAUUCAUGGCUUCUUGACAGUGGUUGCACACAUCACUUGUGCAAUAAUGUUGAACUGUUCAAAUUCCUAGAUGAUACUUACAAAUCUAAAGUAAAAGUGGGAAACGGUGAGGCAGUAGAAGUCAAAGGCAGAGGUACAGUGUCUAUCUCAACAAUAUCAGGGAAAGCAAACAAAAUUGCCAUUUCAAGCAAAUCAAGUACGAAGAGCUAACCAGAAACUUCAGCUCAUUCAUACGGAUGUUUGCGGCCCAAUGAAAACAAAUUUGCUGAGUGGUAACAAAUAAUUUCUCCUCUUAAUUGAUGACUACACCAGAAUGUGUUGGGUUUAUUUCAUAAGACUGAAGAGUGAAGUCUGAUGUUUUUAAGCAAUUUAAAGCUUUAGUAGAAAAUCAAUGUAAUCUUAGUAUUAAGGCUUUAAGGUCUGACAAUGGAGGAGAAUACACUUCUUCUCAAUUUGUGGAGUUUUGUAAUAGCACAGGUAUUGAACGCCAAUUGACAUUACCAUACACUCCACAACAAAAUGGCGUGUCUGAAAGGAAGAACAGAAUAGUAAUGGAGAUGGCCAGAUGUCUUUUGCUCGAAAGAAAGAUCCCAAAUCAGUUUUGGGCUGAGGCAGUCAAUACCUCUGUAUAUUUGCUGAACAGAUUGCCUACUUAGGCCUUGCAGGACAUGACUCCAUAUGAAGCUUGGUGUGGGAACAAACCAUCAAUACACCAUCUCAGAAUCUUUGGGUGUAUAUGUUAUUAUCGAGUUCCAGAAACAAAAAGGAGUAAGCUGGAUAACAAGGCUCAUAAAGGCAUAUUUAUGGGCUAUAGUUCAUCCAAAGGUUACAGGAUUUUCUGUUUGAAAUCAGACAAACUAAUUCUCAGCCGAGAAGUGAAGUUUGAUGAAGCAGCUGC